ACUGGGGCACAGCCGGGCCUGAGCAGAAGGCAGAAGAGGGGCCGCCCGGCCCGGCCACCUGAGGGUGUAGGCGGGGUUCUCCUUGGCAUUACAGGCCUUCCUGUGUCUGGCCCGGAGGACGCCUGCUGCUCUUUGGGACCCUGCAGCCCUCCCAGCCGUGCACACUCCGGGUGCGUCACUGCCCUGUUCAGACGCCCCUCAGGGCCUCGCACGGUGACGAGAACACGUUUUCUCAUGGGGGCCACUCCCUGGCCUCGAGCACCCGGCUGGUGAGCCAGGCGUGGGGACCCCCAGCCCCGGGCUCUGGGGCCCGUGCCCCACAGCCUCCCGGGAGUUCUGCGCGGGGCACUCGAGGAAUGGGUGCGGAUGUGCUGCCAGAAAUGCCCGAUGAUCAUCCGGAGAAGAAGGUGGGAAAUUAUCCGAGCAAACCUUGGAGCUGGGGGCGGGAGCAGAAAUGGGAGGUAACCUGUUUCUAAGGACCUCACGGUGGCAUGGGGACACCCAGAGGACAGAACGCUCCGAGGAUGCCGCCUGGACACAGGCUCAGGUGAGGGAGGCUGUGUCAUCUGCUGACGUCAUCUGCUGGCUGUGACCCGCCCCCCCCCCCUCGCGUUGACAAGGUGAAGGAAGGACCCUCUGCCUGAAGAAAGGGGGUGGGAACAGGUCCCACCCACACGGUGCCACAGCCCCGGCCUUCCUCUUCCUCUGCUGGUGCCAGGCCCCGUGUUCCUGUGAUCCGGGGCCCUUCCCCUGUCGCUGCGUCCCUUCCAGCACCUUCUCUUCGUGUCUCUCCGGGCGGCGGUCACCACCUGGAGCUGCUUGGUAGUUGGUUUGGCUCCCUUGUCUGUGCCCCUGGCUGGUCAGGUCGGGGAGCAGGGCUUUGCCCGCCCUGUUCACCUACGUGCUCAGCGCCUGGAGCCGUCCAUACGAUGGAUGCCAAAAACUAAUUCCUAAUGAAUGAAUUGUCGCUUCACGUUCAGCCUAAGAAGCUGCUAGAGACCGAAGUUUCACGGCCUGCAAACGAACGCUGAUCCCGCUGACCACAGGCUUCCGACCUGGAUGCUGGCCGCGGCGUGAGAGCGGUGUUCCCACGUGCUGGGGGCCGGACUGCUGUGGCCGCCCACGUGGCCAUCCAGGGGACACCUCGUCCCCGCACACACGGAUUCUGGCAGAUUACCCACAUGCUCUCUGAAAGGUCGAGAAAGGGGCAGUCGGACAGAAGGAAACCGAAUCCGGGCCCACGAAGCAGUGCGUGCCAAGGAAAAGUGAGAAUUUCCAGCAAGAAGAGGAGGGGGGACCAUAGCCCCGCACAUACCUUCAUUUAGACUUCUAGCCUCCAAACGAGUGAGGCCCCAUUCUGUUGCUUCGAGCCAUCUAGUCUGUGGUACUUUGUUUACAGUGGCCUUAGUAAACAAAUACAUGUAUAAUCCUAAUUUAAAAGAAAAAAAAAUAGUGUGCACUAGA